rnacentral:misc_RNA from 1 species
UAAAACCAAAUAUAAAAUUUUCUAUUUAUAACAUCAUAUCAACACUCAAAAAAUUUCUAAUUUUAAAUUUUUAAAUUAAAAAUACUCAACCAAUUUUACUUCUUCCUUUCCAAUAUAAAUACCCUUUACUUCUUUUUCUUACCUACUCUAACUAAAACUUCCAAUACCAUAUUAAACAACAAUAAUAAAAAUAAACAUCAAUAUCAUAUCCUAAAUCUCAAAAAAAAUAUAACUAACAAAUUUUCCCUACUCAAUAUAAUACUAA